GACUGCGUGUAUAUCGGACGUGUUCGGCUUUUUAUUUUAUCACUAAGUCAUAGACUACUAUGCCAUAAUUUUCGUGCGCCGUGUGGCAGCACCUUGAGUCUUAGUCUUAUGACUAUCAUUGAUGAUACUUCUCCAGCAUGACGAUGGGACUGACUUGCGGUUACCGGCAGUUUACUUCCUAAUGAAGAGUAAAAGUUACAUCGCGUACACUAGUGUAUCCACUCCGAAAUAAGUUCUCCCUUCCCGCUUUUUGCAUGGAAGUGAACUGUCAAAACACCUCAUUAUAUUUCAUGCGAUGGAAGCAAGACAACGAAAUCAGUUUAUCAGUUAACGAAGAUUGUCAUCGGUCAGUGUCAGUGAAAAAGUGUUUCGGUGAGGUUCAUUUUGGUUGAGUGGACUGUUUGUUUUUCUUUUUCGCUUUGAAGUGAAGAUCAUUUGGUUGGAUUUGUCGUCAAAUUUUAUUCCGUAACCGUGAACGAUGCGCGCGAUCUAUUUCAUCUGAGUAUAACAGCACGUUACUUGGACGAAAAUCUAGUGUAUCUGAAAGAGUGCUGCGAUCAUUGGAAGCGAAAAUUGAAAAUGAUUGGCUGUAAUUUUCGAAGAAUUUUGCUGGGGAAAAUGGUUUUUAUCAGCACUGAUCAGUAGACACAGAAAUAUAUUAGAUGUUUAUUCAAAUUAACUUUCUGAUUUAUUUAACUAAACAUAUUCAAAAAUGAAGUGUGGUUUAACUUUUAAGAAGAAACAAACAAAUGAAAAGGAAAGUGUUUAGCGAGAUAUAAUAUUUCUCUUUUGUCUAAUCAUUGUUACUAGUCUAAAAUUAUAGCCGAUGCUGAGUAUGUUAUAUUGUUCCAAUGGCAUUUUUAGUAGAGCUUUAAUCUGUUGUAAAUCCGGUUUUGGCAGUAUACCCAUUUCUUCCAAGACAUUACCGAAAUAUUCUGAAAUAGAAAAAAAAACAUCAAAAUAUUGUUCUAGGAUAAAAAUAACCAUAAUAAAAAUUAGAAUAUUGUACAACAACAGUAAUAAAACAAUAUAGACAAGAGUUGAAUACAUAAAGUCUGAAUAGACGCAGUGCCGCAAUGUCGAAUAUCUAACCUAGGAUGGGAUAUUGUUUCUUGAAUAUAACAAUCAAUGAUUUGCUCAAAACGACUUCCAUACCCGCCGCCUUUGAACUGUAGUAGCAGUCCAGUAGGUUGCCAAUCAUCAUGUGAAAAAAGUGACCAGAAAAUUUAAAAAAAAACCCUGUUCACUUGCCCGAAAAAACACCUUGUGCAAAAUUUCAGCUCAAAUGGACUUAAAAUGGGGUGGUUCUAAGCGAUUGAAGUUUGGCCUUUUUGAAAUCCGAAAAAUCCGGGUUCCCCAACCCCAAGUAGUGGGUACGUGAAGUUGUUUUCCAAAAAAAAAUGUUUUGAUACCAAAUGACCUAAAAAUUUAUGAAACA